GGCUGUGUCGUAUAAUGGUAUUAUGCGGGUCUGCAAAACCUAUGAAGCCGGUUCGAUUCCGGCCACAGCCUCCA
rnacentral:tRNA from 1 species